UACGAAGGGGGCUAGCGUUGUUCGGAUUUACUGGGCGUAAAGCGCACGUAGGCGGAUCGUUAAGUCGGGGGUGAAAUCCUGGAGCUCAACUCCAGAACUGCCUUCGAUACUGGCGAUCUCGAGUCCGGAAGAGGUGAGUGGAACUCCUAGUGUAGAGGUGAAAUUCGUAGAUAUUCGGAAGAACACCAGUGGCGAAGGCGACACACUGGCCCGUUACUGACGCUGAGGCGCGAAAGCGUGGGGAGCAAACAGG
rnacentral:rRNA from 1 species